CCAUUCAUCUUCAUCCUCCAUCUAUGACUUCUCCCUUCUUGUUAUCUAUGUCUCCUCCCUACGUUCCUGGCAAAGCUUCAUUGCCACCUGAACAAGAAAAGAUUUCUGACAGAGCUUGAGUGGCAUUAUAAAAUGAAUGUCAGUGACACAGGCGCAAGCUCUGUGCUGAAGAAUUUGCUCCAACUUUAUGUGCAACAAAGGGAUCGGAAAAGUGUCAGAUGCUGUAAUUACACAAACCCCUACGUUCAGGAGCAGGAAAAUAUCAUGGAGUCUCUGUUCGUCCUGAUUAUUGUUGGGUUUUUUGGCUUUCUCCUCUUUGCUUUGAUGCUCAGCAAUAUUGUUUUCAAGAAACAGGACAAUUACAUGGACUGUGUUUAUCGUGAGACAUUACAGACAGCUGGAAGGAAACUAUCACUUAAAGACAAGUUGGCUGUCCUCGCUUCAGACCUGAGUGAUAUUGACCAAUGUCAAAAGACUAUUGGGUGCACCACAGCGGCCAAGGCUCCAAGCACAGUGUCAAUCCUGGAAAGUGUAUGAAAAUACCCUUUGUGUGCAGCUUGAUGGCCUAUUAUGAACUGCAGGUGCUUCUGUUGCUCACAGAAGUGUAUAACAAAGAGCUUGGAACAGUUAUUGGUGGAGCGCUGAUUCUGCAGGGCAACCUUCCCACUCACAGCUGAAGAAAACUGUUCUGUUCUCCUGAAUUGCAGAAAGGCACUCAUAUUUCAGCCCGGUGCUUUCUGGUGGGAGACACACAAUCAAUUCCAAACUUGCAAGAUCUUUUUAUAUUAUUUUCAGCAUUUUUGAAAUGUACUGUGUAGUUUAUGGAAGAAGAAAACUUUCUCAUUUUUAUAUAUAUAUAUAUUUUUUACUGUGCCUUUGUGAAGGCUAGCUUUUUUUUCUAGCUGCAAUCUGUGGGUGAUGUUUAUCUUUUUCUUCUGGGAAUUAAGAUAUAUGGAGUAUUUAUUUAUUGGUGUUCAGCACUGAUGCUUACGUUCCAUGUUUCAAAUAAAGUGCAGAGCGAGACUCCCCUCAUGCCGCCAUUGCCACUUGGGUGGGGUGGAGGGUGAGAACUACCUCUGCACCAGCCAUGUGUUGCCCAGUGGGCAAAUCCGUUAGAGGCUGGGCCAGAGUGGACUUGCUCAGCUGCAUCAGCUGGCCGGGAGUGAGGCCAGAGCAGGUAUGGCCAUGUAAGAUUAGAGUAGGGUGGGCCCUGCCUCUCUUUGACUCUGCUCCUGAAGAUUGGCUUUGGCUUCCCCCCAGACAAUCACACUCCGCUGACUUCAGAUCCUUUAUUGGCAGGAUGGUGUAUACCUGUUCAAGUGGGGCAUGGACAACUGGCUUCACAGCAUCACCCAAGCUUUGUGUGGUUGGUUGCAGGCUUAGGAGCUUUGGGCGGGAGUCUGGGUUUAUAGGUCCAUGCUCUGCGACAGGUGGCACAUGGGGAUCCCUAAGGGCCUUGGCAGUAGGGUGGGUCUCAUGAAUGUGCCCAGGCAGGGGUGCUGGUCAGCCUACACCCAGUGGUCAGCAUCCAAAUGACUCCCACCAACUUGUUGCUCCGGGUUUUCCCCAGCAUCCAGGCAGGGGAAAGCUGUUGGGUCGGGUUUAGCAAGCAUGCUGCCUGACAUCAGGAUCUGUCUCCUAUGUUGCAUCCUUUGUUCCUUAUGUCUCUAACUAAUAAACAAGCAGUGCCCAGCUAUUUGUUCACUUAAA